rnacentral:rRNA from 1 species
CGUUCUGUAAGCCUGCGAAGGUGUGCUGUGAGGCAUGCUGGAGGUAUCAGAAGUGCGAAUGCUGACAUAAGUAACGAUAAAGCGGGUGAAAAGCCCGCUCGCCGGAAGACCAAGGGUUCCUGUCCAACGUUAAUCGGGGCAGGGUGAGUCGACCCCUAAGGCGAGGCCGAAAGGCGUAGUCGAUGGGAAACAGGUUAAUAUUCCUGUACUUGGUGUUACUGCGAAGGGGGGACGGAGAAGGCUAUGUUGGCCGGGCGACGGUUGUCCCGGUUUAAGCGUGUAGGCUGGUUUUCCAGGCAAAUCCGGAAAAUCAAGGCUGAGGCGUGAUGACGAGGCACUACGGUGCUGAAGCAACAAAUGCCCUGCUUCCAGGAAAAGCCUCUAAGCAUCAGGUAACAUCAAAUCGUACCCCAAACCGACACAGGUGGUCAGGUAGAGAAUACCAAGGCGCUUGAGAGAACUCGGGUGAAGGAACUAGGCAAAAUGGUGCCGUAACUUCGGGAGAAGGCACGCUGAUAUGUAGGUGAAGUCCCUCGCGGAUGGAGCUGAAAUCAGUCGAAGAUACCAGCUGGCUGCAACUGUUUAUUAAAAACACAGCACUGUGCAAACACGAAAGUGGACGUAUACGGUGUGACGCCUGCCCGGUGCCGGAAGGUUAAUUGAUGGGGUUAGCGCAAGCGAAGCUCUUGAUCGAAGCCCCGGUAAACGGCGGCCGUAACUAUAACGGUCCUAAGGUAGCGAAAUUCCUUGUCGGGUAAGUUCCGACCUGCACGAAUGGCGUAAUGAUGGCCAGGCUGUCUCCACCCGAGACUCAGUGAAAUUGAACUCGCUGUGAAGAUGCAGUGUACCCGCGGCAAGACGGAAAGACCCCGUGAACCUUUACUAUAGCUUGACACUGAACAUUGAGCCUUGAUGUGUAGGAUAGGUGGGAGGCUUUGAAGUGUGGACGCCAGUCUGCAUGGAGCCGACCUUGAAAUACCACCCUUUAAUGUUUGAUGUUCUAACGUGGACCCGUAAUCCGGGUUGCGGACAGUGUCUGGUGGGUAGUUUGACUGGGGCGGUCUCCUCCUAAAGAGUAACGGAGGAGCACGAAGGUUGGCUAAUCCUGGUCGGACAUCAGGAGGUUAGUGCAAUGGCAUAAGCCAGCUUGACUGCGAGCGUGACGGCGCGAGCAGGUGCGAAAGCAGGUCAUAGUGAUCCGGUGGUUCUGAAUGGAAGGGCCAUCGCUCAACGGAUAAAAGGUACUCCGGGGAUAACAGGCUGAUACCGCCCAAGAGUUCAUAUCGACGGCGGUGUUUGGC